GGUAGAGUAGCUUAGUUAAGCGGUGGAUUGUAGCCCCAUAGACGGAGGUGAAAGUCCUCCCUCUGCCA
rnacentral:tRNA from 1 species